UCACUGGGGGAACCUUUGGCUGAGAGGCAGUAUUUACUGCCGACCCUUUGAACCUGUUGGGAUAAUACCUGCGUAGGGAAGUGAAAAGA
rnacentral:ncRNA from 1 species